AGCGUCGUCGAGGGCCGACGUCCUGUUUACAAGUUGUGUUCUGGAUAAGUUCGGUGCGAAGGAUUGUGCAAAUCCGGAUUGCUCCACAGGAAAAGGGAGAUAUGACGAUACCAGCUGGCCAAAAACCUUUUGCGGUUACGGCGGACUCGGGAAUAUUUUUGGAAACGAUGAACUUGACCACGUCGUUGCAUGAUGCAGUCGGUGUAAAGUUUCGAGCACAAAAUGUUGCCAGGAUGAAAAGGGCACUGACGAUGGGUAACUCGAUGGAAAGAACUGAGUCGGAGGCUGCAUAAACCAACCAUUUGGCGAGAAACUGGUCGGUUGAACGCUAUAUGGUGGCCACAUCGGCGGAUAGUAAAUGGCGCGUGAUUUUGAGCAGCAUCGAGUUGAUUGGAAGGAGCACCAACCUGCCAGGUUUCGAUUCAUUAUUUCUUCGAUUCCUAUCACUUGCCAACAUAUUCUUCCUCUUCCUCCAUGUUUAAAAUGAUUAGUUCCCAAAAAUUUUCAACUUUUCCUACAGCCUGAGAUCUGCUUCCCAGCAGAACCGAAAAUAUUCUAUCGCAAAAUCUACACUUCCCCUACCAGGUUUUAGCACAACCACUGCGGAAAAUUUCGCCGGCCACUUAUCCCAAUAUUUUCCACUGCUUUGUUCUAAAAUUUAUAGUUUAACUCAAAUCAAUUGAAAUUUUUGAUGGACGAAAACAAAAACACGUGCGUUGCCCAAAAGUCAUGGCCUACUCCUGAUAGAACUUUAGAAAUGUUCCUCUUAGAAACCGGAGCCCGUGGCACGUUUGUUGAAAUGAUUGAUAUGUGUAAGUGAGACGUGAGAAGCAGCGUUGCGUUGGAUUUCUCCGUAGAUCUAUGGAUUUUAAGCACUUCUACGGAUCGAUGCUCGAAAUCUACGGGUUAUCGAAAAAGUUAUAAGAAUUCUGCGGAUAAAUGAAAAUUCUAGUUUCAUGUUUCAUUAGACUGAGUCGAUUUGGGGUCAUUUUUGAAUUUCUCAAACUCUGAGGUCUUAAAAGCUUCGUCUUGGUCCAAAACUCAUCCAUGAUUUUUUGUAGCAUUUUUAAGUAACGUUUACAUGAGUAAAUUUGAACUUUUAGGUUUGUAUGAGAAAAUGGCAUAUUUUGUACUGAAAAAUCAACAUCAUUUUUGUUUCUUCUGUGGAACCGAGCCAGCUGACAGUUUUUGUGCUAAUUUAUAAAAUUCCCAAAGAAAAUUUUCCGCUGAACAACUUUGUCGAAGACUUUAACCUCGCAUCUUAUUAGGC